CCCGGCGCUGGGAGCGGGUGCGGGGCCGCGGCCGCCCGCCAGCCUCCAGUCCGGAGGACGGGCCCCGGGAGCCCCGGAGGCCCGGGUGGCGAGGCCGGAGCAGCCGGGAAGGCCCGGGAGAGGUGGGAAGCGCGCGGUUCCAGACCUUGGAAACGCCGGCCCCGAAGCGUCGGCGAAAACUCUGCCGGACACAGAAUCAGAGAUCAGCUGUGUGUGCCCC
rnacentral:lncRNA from 1 species